UUUCCCCCUAACAGUCUCGAGGAACUCCUCAGCAUAAGCCUGGGCAAGCUGAGUCUUCAACUGGUCCAUGAGGUCCGAAGAUGAAAUAUUAGACGAACUUGAUCCAAUUGACGGUGAUGAAAAAGAAUCCAUCGCUGCUUCUUGCUCUUCUCUCGACGAUGUGCGACACUAUCUUCUGCGGUGAAACAGAGACAUGUAUAAACCCU
rnacentral:misc_RNA from 1 species